UACGUAGGGUGCAAGCGUUAAUCGGAAUUACUGGGCGUAAAGCGUGCGCAGGCGGUUUUGUAAGUCUGUCGUGAAAUCCCCGGGCUCAACCUGGGAAUGGCGAUGGAGACUGCAAGGCUAGAAUCUGGCAGAGGGGGGUAGAAUUCCACGUGUAGCAGUGAAAUGCGUAGAUAUGUGGAGGAAUACCGAUGGCGAAGGCAAUCCCCUGGGCCUGCACUGACGCUCAUGCACGAAAGCGUGGGGAGCAAACAGG
rnacentral:rRNA from 1 species